rnacentral:lncRNA from 1 species
UAUCACUAAUAUAUGGAAUUUAAUAACAAAUUAUACAGAAGAACUUACAAAAUAGAAACCAACUCAAAGAUUUUGAAACCAAACUUAGGGCUAUCAAAGGUGAAAAGUUGGGGGGAAGGAUAAAUUAUGAGGUCGGGAUUAACAUAUACACACUACUAUAUAUAAAAUAACUAAGUAACAAGGACCUACUGUAUAGCACAGGGAAAACUACUCAAUAUUCUAUAAUAACCUAUAUGGGAAAAGAAUCUGAAAAAGAAUGGUUAUAUGUAUACAUAUAACUAAUUCACUGCUGUAUACCAGACACUAAGACAACAUCAUAAGUCAAUUGUACUCCAAAAAAAUUUUUUUGAAAGUAAAGGUAGAUUGCAUUUCAUUAACUUAUAGUAAUGAUGCUUUUGGUUAUCUUCUUAUGGUCCCAUCCUCCAAAAUAUGCCUUGAAAUGUAUGGGAGAAAAGUCUAGGUCCUAACAAAAUCCUGUUAUCUCUUCUGCCUGGGAACACAGCUGGACCACAGCUCUCAGGCUCUCCUGCCUUUCAGUGGAGCAUGGAGCUGAGCUAUAACCAAUGGUAUAUGAGCAGGAACAGCAAACCUCCCCAAGCCAACCAGAGCAACCUCCCAUGCCACCUGCGAGGCAUUUCCCCAUUCUGCUGGGAGGAAGGGUGCAGGGCAUCCUGGGGUCCCUAGACCCCAGGGGAGGGCAGAACCACCAAUCCAAAGAGGUCUGGGUCUCCAAGUCACAGUCCUGGAAGAUCACCCUUCAAACAUCCAAUCCACAUAACAUGAGCAAGUACACUUUUCACAAAUUAAGUGACUCCUCUGAGGUUGCUUGUUGCAGCAUUAGCCUUACCAUAACGCAAGAGACAAACCUGGAUCCCACUCAAUAAUGACAGCUGAUAAACAAUUCUGCAAAUCCCUCCCAGCAUUAAGGACAUUUAAAAAUGAAAACAGGCUUUGUUGACAGUGUUAGGUAUGAAUCUUAAAAGACAGAAGCAGAGUUCAGAGUUUAGAUGCUCUGCUGGGGAGACAUCUGCUCCUGAAACAAGACUCUGGGCCCCUGGGGACUGACAAGCCUUGACAGACAGGAAACUUCCUGGGCCACGCCCCCCUGCUGCCCUAAUCACUGCCUCCAGGAAAGGAGAGCAUCUCCACAAGAGUAUUUUUAGAUCAGCUUAAUUUCUAAAACCACAUCUGAGCGCUCACCUUUAAUGCUCAUGCUAUUACUGAUACCUCUGCCAUGCAGUUUCCGUUAUUCAUAUUUAUAACAAUAUGAUAAGUCUGGUUCUCAGUCUCUGAAUUAGAGGGUAUUAAAACUUUCCUGACUAUCAAGCCCAAGAAGAAGAUCCUUGUAUUCUGCCUCUCUCAAAAUCCCACAGACUCUCAGGAUACAUGCCCUUCUUCCCUGGGGUUAUAUGUCCUCUGGGAAGCCUUCACUGAUCACCCUUUAGCUGGGUUCAGCACUCCUUCCCAAGACCUCGUCACAUCCAAUGCUAAUGAAUGGAUUUAUUUUCAGGAGAGUGUAUUACAAAUAUUGCAUGUUGCUUCUCUCAGGCUGUCAGCAGGGACUGAGUCAAAAAAUUUAAUUUCUAGCACUGGGAUUACCAGUCUAGCAUCUCCCUGUACUCGCCAAAGAAAGACUCACUGAACACCUGCUCUGUGCCAGAUGCUAGGUAGCCAGUGGAGAACUAAUGGCUUCAAGAGUCCCAGUGCUGAUUCUAACAGUGUAAUGAUGGAGAUGGACUGGUUAUGGUCUUUAUUAGCAAAGAGUGGCUCUAAUAAAUGCAUAAUCAUGGGUGGUGGAGGUGAUCAGGAAGAAAAGCCCCUGUUUCCAUGACAAUGUCUUCUUACUUUGUCUUUCCCCAAAGAGACCUUUUAGAUAAGGGGUUGGGUGCAAAUUCUUUAUCUGGGAGGUAGCUUUAGGGAGCACAAUAAGAGAAUGGAGAAGUGAGACAAGGAAUCGAGGAAUGUUAGUAAAAAUUAUGUAAGAAGCAGACUGAUGCUGUGGGUAAGUGCUCCUCAGCCCUGCUGGGAGCUUCUGAGAGACUGUAUGGAACAUGCCUGAGAAUUGCCCCACUGUGGGAAGACAGUCUUAGGCAAAGAUCGGAUGCAAAGAAAUGGAUAGAUGGAUGAAUGGGUCCUGCAUGCCAGGGUCUAAAUGAAGAAUUGGAGGAGUAACAGAUAAGAAAAGAAGGACCGAAUGGGGAAUAAAUGAUUGUGGAUGCCUGGUGAAAUCCAGCAGCCUCUGCUAGGGAAUGUGAUUGUCACCCAUGCUAAGAGCUUCGUGAGAAUAUAACUGUGCUGGUUACACAUGGAAGGAGAUGUAAACCCAGCCUGAGUUUUCUCAUGCAUGCCUGUGGACCUCUGAAGGAAUUUCAAAUGUAUUCAGGACCAAUUACCUUCAGUUUAAUGAUGCUGUGUCCCAUAGGCUCCUACUGAUGUGGAUAUGGAACUUGUAGUUCUAGAGCAAACUUGUCUUUAUCCAUCCCAAAGAUGCUGACAUGGCACAGCCAGGCCCGUAGGCAGAAGCAUCCUUUAAGUAAAGAAAGAAAUGUGGUCAACCGCCCAGGGCUGUCUGGAUAGGACAGAAGUGAGCUAUUUACACAGAUGUGAACACUUAAAUAUUUCUUUGCUUUACAUCUUGGAAUUGUUCGCGUAGGUAAAUUAACAACCAUGCAUUCAUUUUUUAUUCACUCAUUUAUUCAUUCCUUCAGUACAUAUUUAUUGAGCAUCUACUAGGUCCCAGGUGCUGGAAAGUGCAUGGGGAGCAAGAGCCACCAUCUCUCCUCCAAGAUGUCCUUCGUGGAGGCUGAGGAUGUUCAGUACAUAACACAAUCAUGACAUUUGUACAGAAGGAAACUGUACACAAGCCCAUCUGUGACAUGUAUGGGCACUUUUUCUUAGAAAGAAAGAGAAAGCCUCUUUGAAGAAACCAUGGAUGAGCAAGAAAGGUGGAACAAGGGAGAAGCGUGUCCAGCCAGGGCGAGGAGCCUGUGCCAAGACCACUGUGAGGCCAAGGACUGUGGCCCAUUUAAAGACGGAGUGAAGUGCCAGAGAGGGUGGAGGACAGACAGGCAGCAAGGACCUGGCAGGAGGGGAGGCUACAGAAAUGGACAGGGGACAGAUACAGUUUCCUAUACAUGUGUUUUAUAUAUUUUAAAACCUCUUCAUAGGCAGUAGAUUAAGUCAACUUUAUAGGUUAACAAACUGAGGUCCAGAUAACACGUGCAUGAGAGAAAGAGAAGCUACCUCAAGGAAUUUCCUGCCCUGGGCAUUCACUUACUUCAGCAGCACACACUUGGUGGAUGCUCAGCAUAUGCUAGGUCCUGGGUGGGCACGGGGGUAAGAGAAGGAUGAAUGGCCAGAUGAAGGCUACAGUCUGGAGGCUACGGGGUGCAAAGGCUCUAGAGUCCCAGCCUGAGCUUUCAGGGGACCUUGUGGGUCAGAGAAGUCCUUUGACUUCUUCCCAUACUCUUCUGUCUGCGUAGGAGCCGGCGUGGGCUAUUCAGUCCCAGACCCAGUUUGUAUCUCAUCUCUGCUACACACCGUNGACCCGGUUUGUAUCUCAUCUCUGCUACACACCGUCAAGGUGACCUAUGUGUCCUAAUUGAGCCUCACUAAUUUCUACAAAAUGAGAAUACUGCUAUUUCUUACCUGACAUCAUCUGUGUGUGUGAGGGGAAGGGGAGUGGAAAAGACAGGCUGGGCCAAUAGCUGGUGAGCAGGAGUUGGGGAACCGGAUCCCGGCUUAUCAGCCCCACCUUCCCCUCCAUCUUCUCCCUGUAGCCACUAUGGAGAUGCUGGAAAAUCUCGCGCCCUCAGCCUCUCUAGCUGGAGAUCUUUAGAUUCUCCAGCUCUGCACAAGCCUACAUCUUGGCCAGAGGUACCUUUGGGCAGGUGGCACCAGCUGCUGGGGGUUGAGCACAGGUCUCCCCACAGUGGUUCCUGCUGCACCCUGGGUAGGGGUCUAGCUCAAUGUCAGGCAGAUGCCUGCUUCCUGCUGUGCUGACACAGGUGCACCUUCCUCAUGCUCCCUCAGGCCCUUCCCCCAAAGCUGUGGACCCAGGACUUUGAUGCCUUCGAGCAUCUGAGGUAGAUCAGUUCAGCUGCACACCCAGAAGCCGGGCCCAUGCAAGUCUGCGAUCAGCUGAUUUUGUGCUGGGCAUUUCAGGUCAGAUGGAUUCCCUGGGUGCUUUCCUGCUUUACAAUCUGCCAGGUUCAUCUCCACAUGACUGAGAUGACGAAAGGGGUAACUUUGUCUCUCCUCCUUUCCCAGAGGCUGCACAGGAGCCCAUAGGCUCCUUCCAAAGGUUGCUCUGGCCCCUCGAUGUGCCCUUGCUAAACCCUGGCUCAGGCUGCCCAGAGGGAAGCACCUGAGCCUCAUUUCCUGGGAUCAUCAAUUGGUAGACGAUGCCCCAGCAAUGACAGAGCUAGGACAAUGAAAGCCAGAGACUUGAGGACAAGUUCUUUGGAAGGAGUUAGCAGUGGGAGGGCAUGUGAAGGUGACGGCUGCUUCCAAAUAUAUAUUUUUUUCAGUUAGACCUAUAAAGAGGCCUUGAGGAGUUCCUGCCAUGGCUCAGUGGAAACAAAUCUGCCUAGUAUCCAUGAGGAAGCAGGUUCAAUCGCUGGCCUUGCUCAGUGGGUUAGGAUCUGGUGUUGCUGCAAGCUGUGGUGUAGGCCGCAGACGUGGCUCGGAUCUGGUGUUGCUGUGGCUGUGGCUAGGCCGGCAGCUGUAGCUCUGAUUGGAUCCCUAGCCUGGGAAGCUCCAUAUGCUGUGGG